rnacentral:rRNA from 1 species
GUGGCCAAGUUUUUAAGGGCGCACGGUGGAUGCCUUGGCACCAGGAACCGAUGAAGGACGUGGGAGGCCACGAUAGUCCCCGGGGAGUCGUCAACCAGGCUUUGAUCCGGGGGUUUCCGAAUGGGGAAACCCGGCAGUCGUCAUGGGCUGUCACCCGCUGCUGAACUCAUAGGCAGUGUGGAGGGAACGCGGGGAAGUGAAACAUCUCAGUACCCGCAGGAAGAGAAAACAACCGUGAUUCCGGGAGUAGUGGCGAGCGAAACUGGAUGAGGCCAAACCGUAUGUGUGUGAUACCCGGCAGGGGUUGCGCAUGCGGGGUUGUGGGAUCUCUCUUCCACGGUCUGCCGGCCGUGGGACGAGUCAGAAACCGUUGAUGUAGGCGAAGGACAUGCGAAAGGUCCGGCGUAGAGGGUAAGACCCCCGUAGUCGAAACAUCAGCGGCUCGUUUGAGAGACACCCAAGUAGCACGGGGCCCGAGAAAUCCCGUGUGAAUCUGGCGGGACCACCCGCUAAGCCUAAAUAUUCCCUGGUGACCGAUAGCGGAUAGUACCGUGAGGGAAUGGUGAAAAGUACCGCGGGAGCGGAGUGAAAUAGUACCUGAAACCGUGUGCCUACAAGCCGUGGGAGCGUCGCGCAUCGAGCUUGCUCGGUGCGUCGUGACUGCGUGCCUUUUGAAGAAUGAGCCUGCGAGUUAGCGGUGUGUAGCGAGGUUAACCCGUGUGGGGAAGCCGUAGCGAAAGCGAGUCCGAACAGGGCGUUUGAGUUGCACGCUCUAGACCCGAAGCGGAGUGAUCUAGCCAUGGGCAGGUUGAAGCGGCUGUAAGAGGUCGUGGAGGACCGAACCCACCAGGGUUGAAAACCUGGGGGAUGACCUGUGGUUAGGGGUGAAAGGCCAAUCAAACUCCGUGAUAGCUGGUUCUCCCCGAAAUGCAUUUAGGUGCAGCGUCGUGUGUUUCUUGCCGGAGGUAGAGCACUGGAUAGGCGAUGGGCCCUACCGGGUUACUGACCUUAGCCAAACUCCGAAUGCCGGUAAGUGAGAGCGCGGCAGUGAGACUGUGGGGGAUAAGCUCCAUGGUCGAGAGGGAAACAGCCCAGAGCAUCGACUAAGGCCCCUAAGCGUACGCUAAGUGGGAAAGGAUGUGGAGUCGCAGAGACAACCAGGAGGUUGGCUUAGAAGCAGCCACCCUUGAAAGAGUGCGUAAUAGCUCACUGGUCUAGUGAUUCCGCGCCGACAAUGUAGCGGGGCUCAAGCGUACCGCCGAAGUCGUGUCAUUGCAGCAAUACUCCCAACGGAGGCUGUGAUGGGUAGGGGAGCGUCGUGUGCCGGGUGAAGCAGCCGUGGAAGCGAGUUGUGGACGGUUCACGAGUGAGAAUGCAGGCAUGAGUAGCGAUUCACACGUGAGAAACGUGUGCGCCGAUUGACUAAGGGUUCCUGGGUCAAGCUGAUCUGCCCAGGGUAAGUCGGGACCUAAGGCGAGGCCGACAGGCGUAGUCGAUGGAUAACCGGUUGAUAUUCCGGUACCCGCUGUGAAGCGUCAAACAUUGAAUCCAGUGAUGCUAAGCCCGUGAAGCCGUUCCGGACCCUUCGGGGAAUGGAAAGUGGUGGAGCCGGUGGCCCGAGCUGGUAGUAGGUGAGUGAUGGGGUGACGCAGGAAGGUAGUCCAUCCCGGGCGGUGGUUGUCCCGGGGUAAGGGUGUAGG